rnacentral:rRNA from 1 species
UAAAGCCCUUUCAGUGGGAAAGAUAGUGACGGUACCCACAGAAGAAGCUCCGGCUAACUCCGUGCCAGCAGCCGCGGUAAUACGGAGGGGGCGAGCGUUGUUCGGAAUUACUGGGCGUAAAGGGCGCGUAGGCGGUGCAGCAAGUCAGGAGUGAAAAUCCAGGGCUUAACUCUGGAAGUGCUUUUGAAACUGCGGCACUAGAGACAGGCAGAGGGUGGUGGAAUUCCCCGUGUAGAGGUGAAAUUCGUAGAUAUGGGGAGGAAGACC